CCUACGGGUGGCAGCAGUGAGGAAUAUUGGUCAAUGGACGAGAGUCUGAACCAGCCAAGUAGCGUGAAGGAUGACUGCCCUAUGGGUUGUAAACUUCUUUUAUAUGGGAAUAAAAUGUUCCACGUGUGGGAUUUUGUAUGUACACUAUGAACAAGGAUCGGCUAACUCCGUGCCAGCAGCCGCGGUAAUACGGAGGAUCCGUGCGUUAUCCGGAUUUAUUGGGUUUAAAGGGAGCGUAGGUGGAUUGUUAAGUCAGUUGUGAACGGUUGCGGCUCAACCGUAAAAUUGCAGUGGAUACUGGCAGGCUAGAGGACAGUAGAGGUGGGCGGAAUUCGUGGUGUAGCAGUGAAAUGCUUAGAGAUCGCGAAGAACUCCGAUUGCGAAGGCAGCUCACUGGACUGCAACUGACGCUGAGGCUCGAAAGUGUGGGGAUCAAACAGGAUUAGAUACCCCGGUAGUC
rnacentral:rRNA from 1 species